rnacentral:tRNA from 1 species
UCCCUGGUGGCUCAGACGGUAGAGAGCUUGCCUGCAAUGCAGGAGACCCAGGUUCUAUCUCUGAGCCAGGAAG